AAGUAUCAAUUUUAAUUAUCAAAUAAACAAGAGAAAGGACCAAUAUGCAAACAACACCUAGAAUUAGGGUUUGAUCUGACAGAAUUCCACGAGUUUUGUUGUUUAUCUGUUUCUGCAGGGGGUUAUCAGGAAAUAAGAAAGAAAGACCCACAUGUCGGGAUUACAUAGAGAUAUCAAGGCACCGCGCGAUUUUCUACCAUCUAGAAGACUCCAGAAGCCACGAGAAGAAAGCAGAGGCCGAAAGGGGCCAGGCCCAGGGCGCCCGCCCUGAGGACCUGGGUGCCCGCCCUCUCCUGUACUCCGUUCGGGACUCUCUUCGCACACGAUGUUCCACCAACCUAAUGGAUCAAAGAUAAUGUAGUACCACCUCGCCUACCGACCCAAAAACGCAUAGAGGAGGAGGACUAUAUAAGGAGACCCCCCUGGCCCC
rnacentral:lncRNA from 1 species